rnacentral:misc_RNA from 1 species
GGGGAAUGUUAGGGGGAAGUCAAUUAUUGAACAGUUGAUGCAAAGCUAAAAUAACAUGGACUAAAUAAGUUUGUCCAUUGCAGCAGGAGAAACUUGAUCUUUGCCUGCCAUUGUUCAUUAGGUUCCCAAGUUGGUAGAACUAGCUAACUAUAAGAAUUUUUAGGACACAUUAAUGGUAACUGAGCUCAUUACUUUGUUUCAUUAUGGUAACAUAACUUCAAUUUGUCACUGUCAUCACAUAAUUUUGAUUCUGUUUUCGAAUAUGUUUGUUUUUAUCCUCAAAAUAAAAAUCGUUAGAUAUUCAAACUUAAUUGGAUAAAAUCACAAUAGCAUUUUUAAUAAAUCUUAUUUGCAUUAAGUAGCUAAAUAUGGCGGAUGAAUCAACAGAAGCAAUCAGUAUUGCACAUCAGUACACCAUGCACAAGGACUCUUUGCAUUGAACGUUCACAAUUUGGUGGCAACAUUCUUUGAUAUUUGGAGACUGAUAUGGGAAUGGAAUGGUGCAUUUAAUAUAAGUUCAACAUAGCGUAUUUAAUAAC